GAUGAAGAACGUAGCGAAAUGCGAUAAGUAAUGUGAAUUGCAGAAUUCAGUGAAUCAUCGAAUCUUUGAACGCACAUUGCGCCCGUCAGUAUUCUGGCGGGCAUGCCUGUUCGAGCGUCAUUACGCCCCUCAAGUCCCCUGUGGACUUGGUGUUGGGGAUCGGCGAGGCUGGUUUUCCAGCACAGCCGUCCCUUAAAUUAAUUGGCGGUCUCGCCGUGGCCCUCCUCUGCGCAGUAGUAAAACACUCCCAACAGGAGCCCGGCGCGGUCCACUGCCGUAAAACCCCCCAACUUUUUAUAGUUGACCUCGAAUCAGGUAGGACUACCCGCUGAACUUAAGCAUAUCAAUAAGCGGAGGA
rnacentral:misc_RNA from 1 species